rnacentral:lncRNA from 1 species
CGUACAGCCCUCCCUCCCCCGCGUGGCGAGCGCAGACCGGGGCUGGGGGUAGGGGGGAGGCCCCCAGCCUGGGCUGCAGUGAGUGACCUAUUUGAGGAGUCAUCGCGGCCGCCCUGAUUGCCAGGCUGACUCACCGCCGCAAACCAGGCCGAAGCUCCGGACGCCCAGGCUCCGCGCAGCGACGGGGCUCGCAGGACCCCAGUGUCUCCGUCUGUGAGGUGGAAGCCGGCGCUCAGGCAAGGACAGACAGACAGGAGGGUCAGGAAGGACCGGGACGGCAGAUGGGAGUUCAGAAGCUCACUCUGCAGGCGGGCCUCGCCCCUUGGCACCUACAUCGACGCCCAGAUCAAUAGAAGAAGCAAAGAGAGAUCCCCUGACUUCAGGGACUUCCCACCCACCCACCAGUCGGAUAAUGGAGAGGACACCGGCCUAGGGCUCCUGGGGUUGACCAGAUGCCCGGAACCAUGUGAGACCUCCCAACUGAGGUCACUCCUCCAUAUCCACCCCUCACCGCGUUUCCUUUAAAAGAAGAGUGGGGACCUCAGGACCUGGUCUGGAGAGGGCCCUCCUUCCCCCUCUAAAGCAUGUCCCUGGCUUUAUCCCCAAGGAGCUCUCUCGAGAUGGCCCCCAUCCUCCUUGGAAUAAGUGUCCACUUUUCCUAAAGAACCCCUGAAUGUCCCAGCCGAGCCGAAGUCCUUUUCCACGGGGUAUGCCAGGAGCCCCACUGGUCCUGAGUCAGUUCCGCCUUCUCUCCGGGAACUCCUCAGACAACCUCUCUGGGGACUCCUGUGCUCCCACCAGGAGGAACAGGGCCCAGGGGAACUGACCAAAUGUCUCUCCUCUCAGGAUGCUCACUGGGGCUGGAAGUCAGAGAUUAAAGUGGCACCCAGCCAGUGUGGGAGUCGCCCAGGGACACAUUUUGCCUGUAAGAGCCAAUGGGAGGAACAUGGAGUAUGGAUGCCCAGAUAGCUUAGGGAUUUCAGGGAAGGAGUCUUGGGGUCCUGGCAUUAAAUGGAGCUGGGAAGGGGGCGUGGGAGCUAUGGAAGGUGAUAGAGUGAUGGAGAAUCAGCUCUGGAAGAGACUGGUGACAAAGUCCCUUCCCACACUCAUUUACAGAUGAGGAAACCAAGGCCCUGAGGAGCUUUGAAGGCCCCCUGGCCGGAUAGUGGCGAAGUCCAAAUGAGAAUGCGGAACCCUGACUCCCCUCUCCAGUGCUCAUCCUGGGAAAGUCAGACCAGCUCACAGGAAAUUGAAUGCAGUGUGUCCAGGGCUGGCUGCCAGGCCAGCUCUGUGCGGAGGACCUUAUGUGUGUCGAGCCACUUCCUUUCUUCUUGGGAGUAAUCCUGGAAGACAGGACAGGAAGGUAGGCUCUGUGUUGCUUUCCUAAAGUUCAGAGAAAACUGACUUAUCCAAGGACACACAGCUGGGCUGUCUUAGGGGAGCAACCCCUCCCCCCACCCCUUCUUCCUUCUUCAGCAUCUCCUACUCUAAGGGUCCUAAGAGGAGAACCCAGCACCAGGGCUGUGUUCCUGGACGGGCCGCCCUUCCCUCGGGGCUCUGUCCUCUCUAAAGAGGGUAGGAGAGGCCCUUUCCAGUAGAGCUGGGGGCGGGAACCCAGUUUUCCCUCCAAGAAACCAGGUCGUCAAGGAGACAAGAGGCACACGUUUCAAAUCUUCAGCAGGAGCCUGCCUGGCCCGGUGGGCGUGGCCCCGGCCUGGGGGAGGGAUGGGGCCUGGUGGGCGUGACCCCGGCCUGGGGGAGGGGUGGGGCCGGGCCUGGGGAAGGGGCCGGAGGGCGGGCCAGCGCUCAGUGUCCGCCUGCCCCUCGCCCAGACCUCAUGCUGGAUGGGGCCCUGGGGACCGUGAGCCGAGACAUAAUUGUGACCCCCAGAUGCAAUGCCGCCAAUAAAAUGAGGGGAGGGUUUGUUUUUUUAAUUUUUAUGUGAUCAUAUAUUUUACUGUGCUGGCGACCAAACUCAGGAC